CGAAAAUACUGGAAGUUGCACUGAUUUGAAAAACUGCUCUUGUUCUUUCCAUGGCACUUUCAUAGAGCCACGGGCAAAUGUGCUAAUAGGCUCAGAAGAGUGCUACUGUCUAGAUGGAACAAUUAAGUGCCCACCUGGUCCUACAGUAUCUCCUCCAAUACCCACUACUACAACUGUUAUUCCUACCACUUCAACUACAAGAGUACACACUUCAACACGUACACGGACAACUAGGGCUUCAACUACUACAGACUCUCCACCCACCACUAUAACUCCAUCUCCUGCCACCACUACAACUGCACCAACUAGCAGUACUUUGACAACUACACCCACACCACCCACCGCUGUGACCUCAACUACUACUAGCUCAGACACUCUUACCACACCAAUGCCAAGUACUGCUCCAACUGGUACCACAACAAUUCUCACAACCACAACUGCCACGCCUACAGCAAGUAGUACUGCAACAAGAGGUUCACCGACCACUAUUACUUCAACUACAACUACUCCACCCCCAACCACUGUUACUGUCCAUCCAACAACCACUACUACUACAACAACUGUUACUCCUCCUACUUCAACAAGUACACAGACUACUAUGGCUUCAACAACUACAGAAUCUCCA
rnacentral:lncRNA from 1 species